UCCGGAUUUUCAAAUCGGUCAAGCGAACGGGCAAACAAUGAACAGAAUUUUUUUGAUUAAAGAAAAAAAUUAAAAUUAAAAAAAUAAUACGAACGAAGUAAAUCCGUCGAAUGUUUAAUUAAUUAUUUGUCCAACCGAAAACGGUGAUGACCAGUCUUACUGUUUAUUUUCGACGCAUACGCACGUACCGUACGUGAGUUUGAGUGUUUGCAUAAUUUCAACAGCUCAUCGCUCUUUUCGUUUUGGUAUUAUUAAUUGUGAUGUAACGUGCAUAAUGGUCGACGGGAAUUCAUGCAUAAUAAACACUGGACGUCGAGGGAAUUUAUUCAAUAACAAUUUAUCCUCAUUCCAUGAGAUAUUAUAAUCGGCGCAACAUCAUGUACAUACCGCGUGCAUGUUUUCCCACGGCCGGGAUUUUUCCAUCAAAGGAUAAAAUGGUUUCCGACACGAUGAAUAUGUAAACGCAACGCGACAACAUAGAACUGCAUUGCGAUCACGUCUACAAAAUAAUAGUAUCGAUUAUAAAAGACCGGUGACGUAAAUAACGGUAACACCUUACGCAUACACUCUCGAUUGAUUUUCGUUCAAGAUUGUGGACGGAACGAGAGAGAUGCAUACACAUCGUACCGCAUUAAACUGGAAAUUGAAAAUAUUUUACGGGAAUAUCACGAGAACUAAUAAAUUCAUCCUUAGAACAAAAUCAACUCUAGGUGGUUUUCGUUUUAAAAUGAAACAUUUUUAUUACAUACAUAUUUACAUUAUUCGGAUAAACGGAGUGUCACUUAUCGUAUUUUUUCCAACAAGAUGAUUUUUUCGUUAAAAUUUAAAGAUCAAUAAAUCAACAGUGGGUAAUCGUUUACUGGUAUUUUGCGUCAACAUAGAUAAAUGAGCAGUGGCCAAUGUGUGGUCACUAAAUCUAAAUUUUGCUACAAAUUAAUCAGAUAGUACAGAUUUCGUUUUUAGAAAUAAUAUUCAUCUGUUAAACGUCUACCCUUAAUCAAAUUUUUUUUCAAUAUACGAACCAUGCUAUGAGAGAAAGAUGUUCAGAAGUUAUGGGAUAUACCGAACGUAAAUGAAAAAAUCAAUUUAGAAUCUAGGCAUUCCCGGUAUGAAUUUUCGACAAUUUAUCGGGGUUAUCUACUUUUUUUAAUUAUUAUAUAGAUCACAUAAAAAGUGACUGCGUUCUUUAAAAAAAUCUAAUUUCCUAAAUUAUAAUAAACAAUUUUAUUGAAUUUUUGAUCAUAACAUACAGUAAUGGCGCCGAAGUGUUUGAAAAAUACUAUGACAUCGUACACCAAGGAACCUUUCAUUACCGUAUUUAUUUAUUUUUAUAGUUAAAAUUCUUAUUAUACAUUCUGUAUCCACGCCAGAACCCAAUACCCGAAGGCAGUCCAUCCAGCUUACAAAAUCUAAUAUGGCAUCUAAUGUACAGUGUACGCGAUAGUGAUGGGAAUGAAAUCCGGAUUCUUCGAAAAUCUGCUAAAUCCGGAUUUUGGAUUUUCGGAUUUAGAAAUCAGAUUUUUUUUUCGUCCACCACGAUCGGUGAGCGUGUACAGGUCAGACGAACGACGCAGAAUAUUAUCGACACACGCACUCGGUCACGCGUUUUCCGACGGUAAAAUUUUUUUAAAAAUAAUAAUAAAAAUAAAAAACUCUCAAAAACGACCACGGUUUAUCGAUUAGUCGGCCGAUUGGCGUGUCAUGUACACGGACAAUCGUACGCUUGUCAGGUAUUGAAGUUGUUUUUAAAACAACAAACGGUUGUCGGGCGCAGCUUCCGGGAUCAGGCUUGAGGGGCUAUCGCUCCCCGGGGCUCCAAAACGACGUGUACGUGUUGUAUUUUAAACAUGGAAAUAUUAUUGUUACAACGCAUUUGAUUUACGUUACGUCGUACCAUCGUCGUGAUCCAAAAACCGAAUUGCCGUGAAUUCGUUAUCGUUCAUUCCAUGUUUUCUUGCUCUUACCGCGGUGCUAUCGCGAAAACUACCACCUCGGUUCAAAAACGAAAUACAUUUUUCGUGCCAAUCACAAAGGCCGUAGGUACGUAUGAGACGACCGCGAAAAAAAAAACAUCUGGAGCUACACCACCGGUCAGUGACGUGGUGAACAUUAUAAACCAUGAUGCACAACAUAUAUUUCAAUACCUACCCACCCACUUUUUCCAUCAUGCUUGAAAUUUUUUAAAAAAUAUAAAUUGAAAAAGACUAAAAACUAUUACUAGAUUGAAUUACUUACCUACUUAUAUUUUGCUAACUCAAAUUUCAGAUUAGCAAAAUCUAAUAGGCUUUUCCCUCUUUUAU